rfam:Physcomitrella patens subsp. patens PHYPAscaffold_1 genomic scaffold, whole genome shotgun sequence.
UAAAAGGCUUUCAUAAAAGCCACAUUUUAAAUUCUUGAAUUAUUAU